rnacentral:rRNA from 1 species
AUACGGAGGGGGUUAGCGUUGUUCGGAAUUACUGGGCGUAAAGCGCACGUAGGCGGACUGGAAAGUUGGGGGUGAAAUCCCGGGGCUCAACCCCGGAACUGCCUCCAAAACUUCCAAUCUAGAGAUCGAGAGAGGUAAGUGGAAUUCCUAGUGUAGAGGUGAAAUUCGUAGAUAUUAGGAGGAACACCAGUGGCGAAGGCGGCUUACUGGCUCGAUACUGACGCUGAGGUGCGAAAGCGUGGGGAGUAAACAGGAUUAGAAACCCUAGUAGUCC